rnacentral:rRNA from 1 species
UACGGAGGGUGCAAGCGUUGUCCGGAUUUAUUGGGUUUAAAGGGUACGUAGGCGGAAUAAUAAGUCAGUGGUGAAAUCCCGUAGCUCAACUAUGGAACUGCCAUUGAAACUGUUAUUCUUGAAUUCGGUCGAGGUAAUUGGAAUGUAACAUGUAGCGGUGAAAUGCUUAGAUAUGUUACGGAACACCGAUAGCGAAGGCAGAUUACUAGACCGAUAUUGACGCUCAGGUACGAAAGCGUGGGGAGCAAACAGG